GACGUCCUACUACAACUAGGCGUCCGCCGGGUACUACGAGCAUUAGCUUAAAACCCAAAGGACCUGACGGUGCCUCAGACCCCCCUAGAGGAGCCUGUUCUAGAACCGAUAACCCCCGUUAAACCUCACCACUUCUAGCCACCCCAGCCUAUAUACCGCCGUCGUCAGCUUACCCUGUGAAGG
rnacentral:rRNA from 1 species